rnacentral:rRNA from 1 species
AGCGAACGCUGGCGGCAGGCCUAACACAUGCAAGUCGAACGAACUCUUCGGAGUUAGUGGCGGACGGGUGAGUAACACGUGGGAACGUGCCUUUUGGUUCGGAAUAACUCAGGGAAACUUGUGCUAAUACCGAAUGUGCUCUUCGGGGGAAAGAUUUAUCGCCAUUAGAGCGGCCCGCGUCUGAUUAGCUAGUUGGUGAGGUAACGGCUCACCAAGGCGACGAUCAGUAGCUGGUCUGAGAGGAUGACCAGCCACACUGGGACUGAGACACGGCCCAAACUCCUACGGGAGGCAGCAGUGGGGAAUCUUGCGCAAUGGGCGAAAGCCUGACGCAGCCAUGCCGCGUGAAUGAUGAAGGUCUUAGGAUUGUAAAAUUCUUUCACCGGGGACGAUAAUGACGGUACCCGGAGAAGAAGCCCCGGCUAACUUCGUG